rfam:Schistosoma haematobium scaffold1512_2, whole genome shotgun sequence.
AGCUUUUCGAAUCCGUGCUGAGAUUUCUUCAGACACCAACUUAUUAGGGCUGACCAGACUUCCAAGAUAAGUGAAGUU